CAUUCCCCAAAUGUCAAGCGUUUCACCCAUGCACAAACCGCGUAUAUAUGUAUGUAUGCAUCACUUUCUCUGGUCACGAGCGUUAGUGGUCAUUUCACUCCGGGAAACAUUGAUGAAGUGUUGGAUAUCGGUUACACAGUAACGGCUUCUGAAACCUACCUUUAGAAAGAGGUACUUAUACUUUCGUACCUCCUGUAAGAAAGAGUUAGAAUCGACCAAACAGUUCACCGCAAAUAAAUCCAAACGACAUUGACGACAUGCGGAUUAUUCUAGUUGCAAUCCUUCUUAUUCUCGUCACCUACACGGAGAGCAAAGAUAGCUACACGAAUUUGUUGCGGAGGCGCUAUCAAUCUGGCUGUCAAAACCGGGUGAGUGAACCCUUCUGCCUGGAACUGGCCCAGGAGGAAUAUGACAGCAACAUGUACAGUUUUUGUAAGGACAACCUAUAUUCGGUCGCUUGUUGCGAGCUCUGUACAGAUUACCUUGGCGGCGGCCCGUACAUUAACGGAAAAUAAAACAUGCACUUCCCGGAUCUAGUUCUGGACCAUGACGUCACGAUGACUGCUACCCUUCCUUGCUAUGAUCCGUAAAACGGUCCCGACCCUACUACAGAGCAAUACAGAACUCUACAAUACCUUAUUAUUUUGAGACUCAAUAAUGUUCAUCCUUACUUCAUUUGUACACAGCAUAUUAAUAAAUGAACUAUGAAUUGC